CCUACGGGAGGCAGCAGUGAGGAAUAUUGGUCAAUGGACGAGAGUCUGAACCAGCCAAGUAGCGUGAAGGAUGACUGCCCUAUGGGUUGUAAACUUCUUUUAUAUGGGAAUAAAAUGUUCCACGUGUGGGAUUUUGUAUGUACCAUAUGAAUAAGGAUCGGCUAACUCCGUGCCAGCAGCCGCGGUAAUACGGAGGAUCCGAGCGUUAUCCGGAUUUAUUGGGUUUAAAGGGAGCGUAGGUGGAUUGUUAAGUCAGUUGUGAAAGUUUGCGGCUCAACCGUAAAAUUGCAGUUGAAACUGGCAGUCUUGAGUACAGUAGAGGUGGGCGGAAUUCGUGGUGUAGCGGUGAAAUGCUUAGAUAUUACGAAGAACUCCGAUUGCGAAGGCAGUUCACUGGACUGCAACUGACACUGAGGCUCGAAAGUGUGGGUAUCAAACAGGAGUAGAUACCCUUGUAGUC
rnacentral:rRNA from 1 species